GUGGGGAAUAUUGCACAAUGGGCGAAAGCCUGAUGCAGCGACGCCGCGUGAGGGAUGACGGCCUUCGGGUUGUAAACCUCUUUCAGCAGGGAAGAAGCUUUUGUGACGGUACCUGCAGAAGAAGCACCGGCUAACUACGUGCCAGCAGCCGCGGUAAUACGUAGGGUGCGAGCGUUGUCCGGAAUUAUUGGGCGUAAAGAGCUUGUAGGCGGUUUGUCGCGUCUGCUGUGAAAAUCUAGGGCUUAACCCUGGACGUGCAGUGGGUACGGGCAGACUAGAGUGUGGUAGGGGAGACUGGAAUUCCUGGUGUAGCGGUGGAAUGCGCAGAUAUCAGGAGGAACACCGAUGGCGAAGGCAGGUCUCUGGGCCAUUACUGACGCUGAGAAGCGAAAGCAUGGGGAGCGAACAGGAUUAGAUACCCUUGUAGUCC
rnacentral:rRNA from 1 species